rnacentral:lncRNA from 1 species
CUAUUAGUGGCCUAAACAUACAGAAGAAGUAAUAAAACAUUUUUUUUAAGUAAAUGUAUUACUCCUGAUGUCACAUGUUGCCAUGGAAACGUCCAAUGACAAACGGCUGAGGUGCCCCAUGACAGAGAAGAGAAGACACAGUUGGUGAGACAGUUGUGCUAAAGGCAAGAGGGGGAAAUCCCUCGGAGCGAGAGAGAGAGAGAGAGAGACAUAAUAUGACAUUUGAAAUGUCUCUAUUAUUUUGGAACUUUCUGCUUCUUGUCGCGUUACGUAACGUCCCCCUAUCACUCGACUGGCCCGCGGGGCGUCAGCGUGAAAUUAUGGGAAAACAAAAGGGUGAGGAGACAGGUUGAGCCAAUUAAACGAUGCAAAAGCCAAGGGAUAUGCCUUUCGGUAUUGUUCUUGCCUGGGAGGGAAAAUGUCACAGCAGUGGCGCUGGUGCUGGCGCUGCUUUGGAGCGGAUCUGACACUCCGCAGAGGGAGGUCAAAGGCCACUAACAGAGUGGUUGGAACAAAACAGAAGCAGUGGGUGGUCCGGGGGAAGAUGGCUGACUCACCUCUGGUGGUCCAACAUCAAGAGGACUGGAGGACAAAGACAAUAAUACAUGGAGCAGCUUCCUGGACUCUCUGUCUACUCUGGCUGCACAGGAAAUGGAGCAGCUCCCUGGACUCUGUCUAAACUGGCUGCACAGGAAAGGGAGCAGCUCCUUAGACUCUGUCUACUCUGGCUGUACAGGAAAUGGAGCAGCCCCCUGGACUCUGUCUACUCUGGCUGCACAGGAAAUGGAGCAGCUUCCUGGAUUCUGUAUACUCUGGCUGCACAGGAAAUGGAGCAGCUCCCUGGACUCUGUCUACUCCGGCUGCACAGGAAAUGAAGCAGCUUCCUGGAUUCUGUAUACUCUGGCUGCACAGGAAAUGGAGCAGCUUCCUGGAUUCUGUAUACUCUGGCUGCACAGGAAAGGGAGCAGCUUCCUGGAUUCGGUAUACUCUAGC